GCCUGGCUGGCUCAGAUGGGAAGAGCGUGUGACUCUUGAUCUCAGGGUCAUGGAUUUGAGCUCCAUGUUGGGUG
rnacentral:tRNA from 1 species